rnacentral:misc_RNA from 1 species
UAUGGUUUGACACUGGUUUGCUAAUUGAGAUGGUCGUUUUGUUGGUUGUCAAAUGACAGGGUAUAUUACUCAAAGAAAGCCUUUAGGAGGAUUGCUGUUUUUGCUUCCUCGAAUAUUCAAUUUUGAAGAUAGAGGUGCCACGGGGAGUGAGGAUCAAGUGUAUGACAAAGGGCUGAUGAAGACUGUCUUGGCUGAGCUUGAACGAUUACUUAUACAUGCCAACAUACCUGUGCGUAAAAGAAGUGACAGGAUUGUUCCCCCCUCCCCCCUAUUUCUCUAUACUGCUCCACAUUGACUUUCCUGUUCAAUAUUCUUUUUCCUCGUUAUCAAUGGCUAGCUGAUUGAUGAAUUGAAUUCCAAACAUGAGAAUUAGUAAAAUAUAAUUAAUUGAAUUCUUUCAUUUUUAGACUUAAAAACACACCCUUAGAAUAUGCUGCUCAUUAUAGGCCUGAGGUGGAAAAUAUUAGCUUAAUUAAUUCUCUGUGCAUUUUAUGUGAAGGCAUGAACACAUUAUCAGGAGUUUGAAUGUCCCUUAUCCAAAAUUUUUGGUCCUAACUUAGAAUUAAUUCUAUAUAAACACCAUGAUCCUGAAGAAUGUAGUCUUCCCUGAUUAUACCUGGUAGUUGCAUUAUAAUUCCCUGAUCUUCUAUUCCAAGAAGAAAAAACUUUGUACAGAAGUUUUUGCACAGAUUGUAAGAUUUACAUGAGAUUCCUCUGAUGCUCUUCAUUAAGACUAGAAUUUCACGUGGUUAUUUUACUUUCAACUAUAUUAAUGUACUUUCAACUAUAUUAAAUUCUUACUUCCCAAUUUCUCUAAUUUUAUAUUCUUGUCUACUGGGAGGAUGUUUGUUUUUGGAACCCAGAUAGCUGUAUAAUUUAAUAGCCAUGCCUAUACUUUUAUCUUUGAAAUCAACUUUUCUUAUCUUUUGAUGCCUUUUAUUUUCUUCUAUUGUUUUCCCUUCUGGUAUCUCAUGU